rnacentral:misc_RNA from 1 species
GUGAAUCAUCAAAUUUUUGAACGCAAAUUGCACUUUCAGGUAUUCCGGAAAGUAUGUCUGUUUGAGGGUCAGUUAAAUAAUAAUUGGUGUUGUUGCUGAUAUUAGUGGUGAAGUGUCGGCAUUGAGUUGUUUUACCUUCGGUUAAGUGAUUUAAAUUUUUGUAUGAUUCUUGAUGGUAUUUAAAUUUCUUACGUACGUUUGAGAUAUCUUAUUCUUUAUUAGGUUCGGUCAUUCAAAUGCUUGGCAUAUAUAAUUUU